rnacentral:lncRNA from 1 species
CAACGGAUGGAAGCUUUGUUCCUUCGCUCUUCGUGAUAAAUCUUGGUGUAGCUCACCCUUUGGGUCCACACUACUUUUAAGAGCUGUAACACUCACUGUGAAGGUGUGUGGCUUCUCUCCUGAAGUCAAUGAGACCACGAAACCACCAGAAGGAAGAAACAUUGGACACACCUGAACAUCUGAAGGAACAAACUCCGGACAUGCCGUGUUUAAGAACUGUACCACUCAGCGCGAGGGUCUGUGGCCUCAUUCUUGAAGUCAGCGAGAGAAAGAACCCACUGGAAGGAACCAAUUCUGGACACACAGUAAACAGCACUUGAUUGGCCAACAGAAACCUAUUUCGUUUACAAAUGGUCGUUCCAAGGUGAAUGGACAAUAUCCUGUUUGGAAGGCUGCCACACUAUGACCAACUGUUGAAAAAACCCUGAUUGACGAUAAGAACAAAGCAGAAUGUCAGCGUCCUGGUGACCCCGACCUCUGGCGGAUGUCCUUGGUGUUCACAGGGCAGCAAUGUGUGCUUGGGUACAUUGUUGUAGAAGGACAACAUGGAAAUACAACUUGCCAGUGAACAUGUUUAAUCCUCUCCUAUGUUGUGGUAGUUUUUCAAAUAAUUUGUCCAUCUCCCCUGGCUUAUGACUUUUUCUCUUACUGAUGCAUAGAGGUCUCUUAUGUAAUCUAGUUAUAAAAGUUGCUGAUAUCUCCACCAAGAUGGCUUUCCUUUCCUUUUCACUAUUUU